UUAAGCGACUAAGCGUACACGGUGGAUGCCCUGGCAGUCAGAGGCGAUGAAGGACGUGCUAAUCUGCGAAAAGCGCCGGCGAGGUGAUAUGAACCCUUGACCCGGCGAUGUCCGAAUGGGGAAACCCAGUGCAAUCCGUUGCACUAUCGUUAACUGAAUACAUAGGUUAACGAGGCGAACCGGGGGAACUGAAACAUCUAAGUACCCCGAGGAAAAGAAAUCAACCGAGAUUCCCCCAGUAGCGGCGAGCGAACGGGGAGCAGCCCGGAGUCUGAAUCAGCUUGUGUGUUAGUGGAACGGUCUGGAAAGUCCGACGGUACAGGGUGAUAGUCCCGUACACGAAAGCACACAUGCUGUGAACUCGAAGAGUAGGGCGGGACACGUGGUAUCCUGUCUGAAUAUGGGGGGACCAUCCUCCAAGGCUAAAUACUCCUGACUGACCGAUAGUGAACCAGUACCGUGAGGGAAAGGCGAAAAGAACCCCGGCGAGGGGAGUGAAAAAGAACCUGAAACCGUGUACGUACAAGCAGUGGGAGCCUCUUUAUGGGGUGACUGCGUACCUUUUGUAUAAUGGGUCAGCGACUUAUAUUCUGUAGCAAGGUUAACCGUAUAGGGGAGCCGAAGGGAAACCGAGUCUUAACUGGGCGUUAAGUUGCAGGGUAUAGACCCGAAACCCGGUGAUCUAGCCAUGGGCAGGUUGAAGGUUGGGUAACACUAACUGGAGGACCGAACCGACUAAUGUUGAAAAAUUAGCGGAUGACCUGUGGCUGGGGGUGAAAGGCCAAUCAAACCGGGAGAUAGCUGGUUCUCCCCGAAAGCUAUUUAGGUAGCGCCUCGUGAACUCAUCUUCGGGGGUAGAGCACUGUUUCGGCUAGGGGGCCAUCCCGGCUUACCAACCCGAUGCAAACUACGAAUACCGAAGAAUGUUAUCACGGGAGACACACGGCGGGUGCUAACGUCCGUCGUGAAGAGGGAAACAACCCAGACCGCCAGCUAAGGUCCCAAAGUCAUGGUUAAGUGGGAAACGAUGUGGGAAGGCACAGACAGCCAGGAUGUUGGCUUAGAAGCAGCCAUCAUUUAAAGAAAGCGUAAUAGCUCACUGGUCGAGUCGGCCUGCGCGGAAGAUGUAACGGGGCUAAACCAUGCACCGAAGCUGCGGCAGCGACACUUAUGUGUUGUUGGGUAGGGGAGCGUUCUGUAAGCCGUUGAAGGUGUGCUGUGAGGCAUGCUGGAGGUAUCAGAAGUGCGAAUGCUGACAUAAGUAACGAUAAAGCGGGUGAAAAGCCCGCUCGCCGGAAGACCAAGGGUUCCUGUCCAACGUUAAUCGGGGCAGGGUGAGUCGACCCCUAAGGCGAGGCCGAAAGGCGUAGUCGAUGGGAAACAGGUUAAUAUUCCUGUACUUGGUGUUACUGCGAAGGGGGGACGGAGAAGGCUAUGUCAGCCGGGCGACGGUUGUCCCGGUUUAAGCAUGUAGGCGGAGGUUCCAGGUAAAUCCGGUACCUUAUUAACGCUGAGGUGUGAUGACGAGGCACUACGGUGCUGAAGUGAUAAAUGCCCUGCUUCCAGGAAAAGCCUCUAAGCAUCAGGUAACACGAAAUCGUACCCCAAACCGACACAGGUGGUCAGGUAGAGAAUACCAAGGCGCUUGAGAGAACUCGGGUGAAGGAACUAGGCAAAAUGGUGCCGUAACUUCGGGAGAAGGCACGCUGAUAUGUAGGUGAAGCCCCUGCGGGCGGAGCUGAAAUCAGUCGAAGAUACCAGCUGGCUGCAACUGUUUAUUAAAAACACAGCACUGUGCAAACACGAAAGUGGACGUAUACGGUGUGACGCCUGCCCGGUGCCGGAAGGUUAAUUGAUGGGGUUAGCGGCAACGCGAAGCUCUUGAUCGAAGCCCCGGUAAACGGCGGCCGUAACUAUAACGGUCCUAAGGUAGCGAAAUUCCUUGUCGGGUAAGUUCCGACCUGCACGAAUGGCGUAAUGAUGGCCAGGCUGUCUCCACCCGAGACUCAGUGAAAUUGAACUCGCUGUGAAGAUGCAGUGUACCCGCGGCAAGACGGAAAGACCCCGUGAACCUUUACUAUAGCUUGACACUGAACACUGGUCCUUGAUGUGUAGGAUAGGUGGGAGGCUUUGAAGCGUGGACGCCAGUCUGCGUGGAGCCAACCUUGAAAUACCACCCUUUAAUGGCUGGUGUUCUAACGUGGACCCGUUACCCGGGUUGCGGACAGUGUCUGGUGGGUAGUUUGACUGGGGCGGUCUCCUCCCAAAGAGUAACGGAGGAGCACGAAGGUUGGCUAAUCCUGGUCGGACAUCAGGAGGUUAGUGCAAUGGCAUAAGCCAGCUUGACUGCGAGCGUGACGGCGCGAGCAGGUGCGAAAGCAGGUCAUAGUGAUCCGGUGGUUCUGAAUGGAAGGGCCAUCGCUCAACGGAUAAAAGGUACUCCGGGGAUAACAGGCUGAUACCGCCCAAGAGUUCAUAUCGACGGCGGUGUUUGGCACCUCGAUGUCGGCUCAUCACAUCCUGGGGCUGAAGUAGGUCCCAAGGGUAUGGCUGUUCGCCAUUUAAAGUGGUACGCGAGCUGGGUUUAGAACGUCGUGAGACAGUUCGGUCCCUAUCUGCCGUGGGCGCUGGAGAAUUGAGGGGGGCUGCUCCUAGUACGAGAGGACCGGAGUGGACGCAUCACUGGUGUUCGGGUUGUCAUGCCAAUGGCACUGCCCGGUAGCUAAAUGCGGAAGAGAUAAGUGCUGAAAGCAUCUAAGCACGAAACUUGCCCCGAGAUGAGUUCUCCCUGAGACUUUAAGUCUCCUGAAGGAACGUUGAAGACGACGACGUUGAUAGGUCGGGUGUGUAAGCGCAGCGAUGCGUUGAGCUAACCGAUACUAAUGAACCGUGAGGCUUAACCUU
rnacentral:rRNA from 2 species